GACGAACCGUGCGAACGUUGUUCGGAAUCACUGGGCUUAAAGGGCGCGUAGGCGGGUGAUCAAGUCAGGGGUGAAAUCUUUCGGCUCAACCGGAAAACAGCUUCUGAUACUGGUCGUCUUGAGUGAGGUAGGGGCAUGUGGAACUUCCGGUGGAGCGGUGAAAUGCGUAGAUAUCGGAAGGAACGCCGGUGGCGAAAGCGACGUGCUGGACCUCUUCUGACGCUGAGGCGCGAAAGCUAGGGGAGCAAACGGG
rnacentral:rRNA from 2 species